rnacentral:rRNA from 1 species
UGAACGCUGGCGGCGUGCCUAAUACAUGCAAGUCGCGCGAACGGACGCGAAGCUUGCUUCUCUGCUGUUAGCGGCGGACGGGUGAGUAACACGUGGAUAACCUACCUAUAAGACUGGGAUAACUUCGGGAAACCGGAGCUAAUACCGGAUAAUAUUUUGAACCGCAUGGUUCAAAAGUGAAAGACGGUCUUGCUGUCACUUAUAGAUGGAUCCGCGCUGCAUUAGCUAGUUGGUAAGGUAACGGCUUACCAAGGCAACGAUGCAUAGCCGACCUGAGAGGGUGAUCGGCCACACUGGAACUGAGACACGGUCCAGACUCCUACGGGAGGCAGCAGUAGGGAAUCUUCCGCAAUGGGCGAAAGCCUGACGGAGCAACGCCGCGUGAGUGACGAAGGUCUUCGGAUCGUAAAACUCUGUUAUUAGGGAAGAACAUAUGUGUAAGUAACUGUGCACAUCUUGACGGUACCUAAUCAGAAAGCCACGGCUAACUACGUG